UUUUUGUUCCAUUUAACUAUC
rnacentral:piRNA from 1 species